rnacentral:rRNA from 1 species
AGUGGCGAACGGGUGAGUAACACGUGAGCAAUCUGCCCUUGACUCUGGGAUAACUGCGGGAAACUGUAGCUAAUACCGGAUACGACACCUUGGGGCAUCCCAGGGUGUGGAAAGAAUUUCGGUCAAGGAUGAGCUCGCGGCCUAUCAGCUAGUUGGUGAGGUAAUGGCUCACCAAGGCGACGACGGGUAGCCGGCCUGAGAGGGUGACCGGCCACACUGGAACUGAGACACGGUCCAGACUCCUACGGGAGGCAGCAGUGGGGAAUAUUGCACAAUGGGCGAAAGCCUGAUGCAGCAACGCCGCGUGAGGGAUGAAGGCCUUUGGGUUGUAAACCUCUUUUAGCAGGGAAGAAGCGAAAGUGACGGUACCUGCAGAAAAAGCACCGGCUAACUACGUGCCAGCAGCCGCGGUAAUACGUAGGGUGCAAGCGCUGUCCGGAAUUAUUGGGCGUAAAGAGCUCGUAGGCGGUUUGUCGCGUCUGCUGUGAAAAUCCGAGGCUCAACCUCGGACCUGCAGUGGGUACGGGCAAGCUAGAGUGCGGUAGGGGAGAUGGGAAUUCCUGGUGUAGCGGUGGAAUGCGCAGAUAUCAGGAGGAACACCAAUGGCGAAGGCACAUCUCUGGGCCGUAACUGACGCUGAGGAGCGAAAGCGUGGGGAGCAAACAGGAUUAGAUACCCUGGUAGUCCACGCCGUAAACGGUGGGUGCUAGU